GACGAACGCUGGCGGCGUGCUUAACACAUGCAAGUCGAGCGGAAAGGCCACUUCGGUGGUACUCGAGCGGCGAACGGGUGAGUAACACGUGAGUAAUCUGCCCCUGGCUUUGGGAUAGCCACCGGAAACGGUGAUUAAUACCGGAUACGACCACUUCUCGCAUGGGAUGGUGGUGGAAAGUUUUUUCGGCCAGGGAUGUGCUCGCGGCCUAUUAGCUUGAUGGUGAGGUAAUGGCUCACCAUGGCUUCGACGGGUUGCCGGCCUGAGAGGGUGACCGGUCACACUGGGACUGGGACACGGCCAUGGCUCCUACGUGAGGCAGCAGUGGGGAAUAGUGGACAAUGGGCGGAAGGCUGAUCCAGCAACGCCGCGUGAGGGAUGACGGCCUUCGGGUUGUAAACCUCUUUCAGCAGGGACGAAGCGCAAGUGACGGUACCUGCAGAAGAAGCACCGGCCAACUACGUGCCAGCAGCCGCCGUAA
rnacentral:rRNA from 1 species